AGGGAAAGGGAACUUAAAAGUACUUCUACUAAGUUCUUCAAUGCAUAAAGUACAAUGUCGCCACCGCUUCCACUGUGAUUCAAGUUCAUCGAAAGGGAAAAACGCUUUCUAUCAACAAGUUUUUCUAUUUGUAAGACAAAGAAGGAAGAACUUACUUGAACACUUUUACAUGGAUUAUUGACAUCACAAUAACUCUGAAGAGUAAUUAAAGCUUGAUUAUCCAAAUCCUCAGCAUAAUUGUAACACUUACAAUUAGCACCAAUUGUCCUCUUAAAUAAGGGGCAACAUUUAUCUAUAGAGACUGUUUGUGUCA